GCCAGGCAUGAUGGCACAUGCCUGUAAUCCCAGCAGCUCAGGAGGCUGAGGCAGGAGGAUUGUGAGUUCAAAGCCCGCCUCAGCGAAAGCCAUGCACUAAGCAACUCAGUGAGACCCUAUCUCUA
rnacentral:sRNA from 1 species